GCUCCAAUAGCGUAUAUUUAAGUUGCUGCAGUUAAAAAGCUCGUAGUUGGAUUUCGGGUGGGGCCUGCCGGUCCGCCGUUUCGGUGUGCACUGGCCGGGCCACCUUGCUGCCGGGGACGGGCUCCUGGGCUUUACUGUCCGGGACCGGAGUCGGCGAUGAUACUUUGAGUAAAUUAGAGUGUUCAAAGCAGGCCUACGCU
rnacentral:rRNA from 1 species